rnacentral:rRNA from 1 species
AUGACGAACGCUGGCGGCGUGCCUAAUACAUGCAAGUAGAACGCUGAAGAGAGGAGCUUGCUCUUCUUGGAUGAGUUGCGAACGGGUGAGUAACGCGUAGGUAACCUGCCUUGUAGCGGGGGAUAACUAUUGGAAACGAUAGCUAAUACCGCAUAACAAUGGAUGACACAUGUCAUUUAUUUGAAAGGGGCAAUUGCUCCACUACAAGAUGGACCUGCGUUGUAUUAGCUAGUAGGUGAGGUAACGGCUCACCUAGGCGACGAUACAUAGCCGACCUGAGAGGGUGAUCGGCCACACUGGGACUGAGACACGGCCCAGACUCCUACGGGAGGCAGCAGUAGGGAAUCUUCGGCAAUGGGGGCAACCCUGACCGAGCAACGCCGCGUGAGUGAAGAAGGUUUUCGGAUCGUAAAGCUCUGUUGUAAGUCAAGAACGAGUGUGAGAGUGGAAAGUUCACACUGUGACGGUAGCUUACCAGAAAGGGACGGCUAACUACGUGCCAGCAGCCGCGGUAAUACGUAGGUCCCGAGCGUUGUCCGGAUUUAUUGGGCGUAAAGCGAGCGCAGGCGGUUUGAUAAGUCUGAAGUUAAAGGCUGUGGCUCAACCAUAGUUCGCUUUGGAAACUGUCAAACUUGAGUGCAGAAGGGGAGAGUGGAAUUCCAUGUGUAGCGGUGAAAUGCGUAGAUAUAUGGAGGAACACCGGUGGCGAAAGCGGCUCUCUGGUCUGUAACUGACGCUGAGGCUCGAAAGCGUGGGGAGCGAACAGGAUUAGAUACCCUGGUAGUCCACGCCGUAAACGAUGAGUGCUAGGUGUUGGAUCCUUUCCGGGAUUCAGUGCCGCAGCUAA